rnacentral:rRNA from 1 species
GACGAACGCUGGCGGCGUGCUUAACACAUGCAAGUCGAACGGAAAGGCCUGCUUUCCCUUGUGGAUUGCGGGUACUCGAGUGGCGAACGGGUGAGUAACACGUGAGUGAUCUGCCCCCAACUUGGGUAUAAGCCUGGGAAACUGGGUCUAAUUCCCGAUAGGACUGCAGGGUGGUGCCUGUGGUGGAAAACGAUUUUCUAGUGGUUGGGGAUGAGCUCGCGGCCUAUCAGCUUGUUGGUGGGGUAAUGGCCUACCAAGGCGGCGACGGGUAGCCGGCCUGAGAGGGUGGACGGCCACAUUGGGACUGAGAUACGGCCCAGACUCCUACGGGAGGCAGCAGUGGGGAAUAUUGCACAAUGGGCGGAAGCCUGAUGCAGGGACGCCGCGUGGGGGAUGACGGCCUUCGGGUUGUAAACUCCUUUCGACCGCGAGGAAGCCACCUGGUUGGAAGGGUGGUGACGGUAGUGGUAGAAGAAGCACCGGCUAACUACGUG